rnacentral:rRNA from 1 species
AGAGCUUGCUCUUUAUGAAAUCUAGUGGCAAACGGGUGAGUAACACGUAAACAACCUGCCUUCAGGAUGGGGACAACAGACGGAAACGACUGCUAAUACCGAAUACGAUUCUUGAGUCGCAUGACACAAGAAAGAAAGGGUGGCCUCUACUUGUAAGCUAUCGCCUGAAGAGGGGUUUGCGUCCGAUUAGGUAGUUGGUGAGGUAACGGCCCACCAAGCCGACGAUCGGUAGCCGGUCUGAGAGGAUGAACGGCCACAUUGGAACUGAGACACGGUCCAGACUCCUACGGGAGGCAGCAGUGGGGAAUCUUCCGCAAUGGGCGAAAGCCUGACGGAGCAACGCCGCGUGAGUGAAGACGGCCUUCGGGUUGUAAAACUCUGUGAUUCGGGACGAAAGAUAAGUAGACGAAUAAUCUGCAUAAGUGACGGUACCGAAAAAGCAAGCCACGGCUAACUACGUGCCAGCAGCCGCGGUAAUACGUAGGUGGCAAGCGUUGUCCGGAAUUAUUGGGCGUAAAGCGCGCGCAGGCGGCUACUUAAGUCCAUCUUAAAAGUGCGGGGCUUAACCCCGUGAUGGGAUGGAAACUGAGAAGCUGGAGUGUCGGAGAGGAAAGUGGAAUUCCUAGUGUAGCGGUGAAAUGCGUAGAGAUUAGGAAGAACACCGGUGGCGAAGGCGACUUUCUGGACGACAACUGACGCUUAGGCGCGAAAGCGUGGGGAGCAAACAGGAUUAGAUACCCUGGUAGUCCACGCCGUAAACGAUGGAUACUA